rnacentral:rRNA from 1 species
UACGUAGGGUGCAAGCGUUAUCCGGAAUUACUGGGCGUAAAGCGCACGCAGGCGGCGCAUUAAGUCUGACGUGAAAUCUCCUGGCUUAACUGGGAGGGGUCGUUGGAGACUGGUGUGCUUGAGGCGAUGAGAGGGGUGUAGAAUUCCCGGUGUAGUGGUGGAAUGCGUAGAUAUCGGGAGGAAUACCAGUGGCGAAAGCGACACCCUGGCAUUAGCCUGACGCUCAUGUGCGAAGGCGUGGGGAGCGAACGGG